rnacentral:misc_RNA from 1 species
UCAACCCUCAAGCCUGGCUUGGUGUUGGAUGUUGAUCGUCGUCCUGGACGAUCCGUCCCGAAGACAAUGACGGCGUCGCGAGGACCCCCGGUACAUGGAGCUUUCACGGCACGUACUGGCGUUGGACUUCCGCGACCCGGCCUCGGUGGACCAACUCGUUUGGUUCACGCUCUUUCACAA